rnacentral:rRNA from 1 species
GAUGAACGCUGGCGGCGUGCCUAAUACAUGCAAGUCGAGCGAACAGAUGAGGAGCUUGCUCCUCUGACGUUAGCGGCGGACGGGUGAGUAACACGUGUAUAACCUACCUAUAAGACUGGGAUAACUUCGGGAAACCGGCGCUAAUACCGGAUAAUAUCUUGAACCGCAUGGUUCAAUAGUGAAAGACGGUUUUGCUGUCACUUAUAGAUGGAUCCGCGCCGCAUUAGCUAGUUGGUAAGUUAACGGCUUACCAAGGCGACGAUGCGUAGCCGACCUGAGAGGGGGAUCGGCCACACUGGAACUGAGACACGGUCCAGACUCCUACGGGAGGCAGCAGUAGGGAAUCUGCCGCAAUGGGCGAAAGCUUGACGGAGCAACGCCGCGUGAGUGAUGAAGGUCUUCGGAUCGUAAAACUCUGUUAUUAGGGAAGAACAAAUGUGUAAGUAACUAUGCACGUCUUGACGGUACCUAAUCAGAAAGCCACGGCUAACUACGUG